GCUGGGGAUAUAGCUCAACUGGUAGAGUGCUUGCCUCACAUGCACAGGGCCCUGGGUUCAAUCCCCACCACCACAGUA
rnacentral:tRNA from 1 species